AGAAUAUUUUCAUGUGUCACCAGGAAGGUUGGUGGCGGGGUUAACAAAUCCAAGAAGUAAGAAGCAAAUUAUUUGAUUUCAAUUGGGAUUGAUAUUAUUGUAUUUGAGUGGCGGACGGGUGAGUAACGCGUGGGUAACCUGCCUUAUACAGGGGGAUAACAGUCAGAAAUGGCUGCUAAUACCGCAUAAGCGCACAGAAUCGCAUGAUUCAGUGUGAAAAACUCCGGUGGUAUAAGAUGGACUCGCGUUGGAUUAGCUAGUUGGUGAGGUAACGGCCCACCAAGGCAACGAUCAGUAGCCGGCGUGAGAGGGCGACCGGCCACAUUGGGAAUGAGACACGGUCCAAACUUCUACGGGAGGCAGCAGUGGGGAAUUUUGCACAAUGGGGGAAAACCUGAUGCAGCGACGCCGGGUGAGGGAAGAAGUACUUUGGUAUGUAAAGCUCUAUCAGCAGGGAAGAUAAUGACGGUACCCGAGUAAGAAGCGCCGGGUAAAUAUGUGCCAGCACAGGCGGUAAUAUGUAUAGGGCAAGAGUUAUCUGGAUUUUCUGGGUGUAAAGAGAGCGCAGAGGGGCCGGCACGUCUCAUGUGUAAACCCGGGGGUCUCAACCCCCCAGAAGCCUCCCGGAACCUCCGCGGCUUGGGUCCUGUAGGGGAGGGUGGAACCCCCGGGUGGCGUUGGAAAGCGCAGAUUCGGGGGGAACACCGGUGGUGAAGGCGGCCCUCUGGUUCGAGACGAGACGUUGAGGCGCGAUAGCUGGGGGAGUGAACAGGAUUAGAUACCGUGGUAGUCCCAGCUGUAAAUGAUGGACGCUAGGUGUGGGGGGACGAUCCCCCCGUGCCGCAGCCAACGCAUUAAGCGUCCCGCCUGGGGAGUACGGCCGCAAGGCUAAAACUCAAAGGAAUUGUCGGGGGCCCGCACAAGCAGCGGAGCAUGUGGCUUAAUUCGAAGCAACGCGAAGAACCUUAUCAGGGCUUGACAUAUGGGUGAAGCGGGGGAGACCCCGUGGCCGAGAGGAGCCCAUACAGGUGGUGCAUGGCUGUUGUCAGCUCGUGUCGUGAGAUGUUGGGUUAAGUCCCACAACGAGUCGCAACCCCCGCCGCGUGUUGCCAUCGGGUGAUGCCGGGAACCCACGCGGGACCGCCGCCGUCAAGGCGGAGGAGGGCGGGGACGACGUCAAGUCAUCAUGCCCCUUAUGCCCUGGGCUGCACACGUGCUACAAUGGCCGGUACAGAGGGAUGCCACCCCGCGAGGGGGAGCGGAUCCCGGAAAGCCGGCCCCAGUUCGGAUUGGGGGCUGCAACCCGCCCCCAUGAAGUCGGAGUUGCUAGUAAUCGCGGAUCAGCAUGCCGCGGUGAAUGCGUUCCCGGGCCUUGCACUCACCGCCCGUCA
rnacentral:rRNA from 1 species